ensembl:lncRNA
GACAGCUCAGUUAACCUAAUGUUUAGCUGUUUAUGACCCAGUAGACAGCUCAGUUAACCUAAUGUUUAUGACCCAGAAGACAGCUCAGUUAACUUAAUGUUUAGCUGUUCAUGGACAGCUCAAAUUCAGCUCAAAAUUCAGCAUAAAACCCCAAAGAGCCAGCAAUGCAGAGGCAGAAGCACAGUGGCUAGGAAAAACUCCUUGGAAGACAGCUCCCCCUAGAGGUAGUAUUGGGACUAACAGAGUAGAGAUGUGUGUGUUCGUACUCCUCUUUGCAGGUCAACCAGAUGCUCCAAAACUUUCACCUGGAUGUGGCCGGUAACCUUGACUACAAGAACCUGUGUUACAUCAUCACCCACGGAGAGGACAAGGAGAAUAAGAGGGCGCACGUAGAGAUAGAGGACUAGAUGGAUAUGACCUUUUUUAACAUUGGCAUUUCUAUUGAGGGAUUCCACCAAGAUGAGUCGUCUAUCUAUCUCUAUAGCGGGGUGCUGUCAGGGAAAGGAGCAAGAAGUUGAAUGGAGGAGGGAAGGGAUGAGGGGGGAUUUUGUAAAUAGCCUAUAACCAGAUAACGACACUACUAGUCACCCUAGGCAGACCGGUUGCCUCCUACAUUGACAAAGUUCCGACAUACACUAGGUCUGGGAUUUCCUAGACUACUGUACUACUACAACAGAGCUAGUGACUAGUGGGUUAUAACAACAGUGACUAGGGAGUUAAAACAACAGUGACUAGGGGGUUAUAACAACAGUGACUAGGGGGUUAUAACAACAGUGACUAGGGGGUUAUGACAACAGUGACUAGGGGGUUAUAACAACAGUGACUAGGGGUUUAUAACAACAGUGACUAGGGGGUCAUAACAACAGUGACUAGGGGUUUAUAACAACAGUGACUAUUGGUUUAUAACAACAGUGACUAGGAGUUAUAUCAACAGGUAGUGACUAGGGAGUUAUAACAACAGGUAGUAACUAGGGGUUAUAACAACAGUGACGAGGGGAAAAUAACAACAGGUAGUGGCUAGGGGUUAUAACAACAGAUAGUGGCUAGGGGUUAUAACAACAGAUAGUGACUAGGGGUUUAUAACAACAGGUAGUGGCUAGGGGGUUAUAACAACAGGUAGUGGCUAGGGGGUUAUAACAACAUUGACUAGGAGAAAAUAACAACAGGUAGUGACUAGGGUGUUAUAACAACAGUGACUAGGGGAAAAUAACAACAGGUAGUGACUAGGGGUUUAUAACAACAGGUAGUGACUAGGGGUUUAUAAGAACAGGUAGUGACUAGGGUGUUAUAACAACAGUGACUAGGGGAAAAUAACAACAGGUAGUGGCUAGGGGGUUAUAACAACAGUGACUAGGGGUUUAUAACAACAGUGACUAUUGGUUUAUAACAACAGUGACUAGGAGUUAUAUCAACAGGUAGUGACUAGGGUUUAUAACAACAGGUAGUGGCUAGGGGUU